rnacentral:lncRNA from 1 species
CACUAUUGUCUGUAAAAGGUAUAAUUACCCUGCUAACACUGUACAUAUGGCUCACUUGCACCCAGAGAGAGAGUGAAGCCAUGUCAAAACUGUGUGAUUCCUUGAGUGUUUUUCCAGCUACCCACUACUCACCCACCGACUCCCCUUGGACCUCAGUUAGAAUGUGACAAUUGGUGUCACGACCAGGAUCUCGAGGUGAAUGAGCCUUCAGUCCCUACUGAUUCUGGGUCAGCCUUGUUGCCACAACAUGGACUGUGGUACCUGGAGACAGCUCUGCUACUUGGAUGGGCUCUGGUGGAAACCUGAUUGGCAGUAGAUGGGUCCCCAGUGAGCAUGGAGAAGGCACUGAAGCAGCUGGAAGCACAGAGCACCACCAAGAAGGAGCGAGCUUUUGCUGGAAGCAUUGGACGAGCUUUUUUGACUGCACUACAAGAAGUACACACUCAGUUCCUGAGGGAUGCAGAUCUCAGAGAAAUUAAAACAGAACUACCACUGGGCCCAGCAAUCCUAUUAUUGGAUAUCUACCCCAAAGAAAACAAAUUAUUCUACCAAAAAGACACGUACAUGCACUUGCAUGUUCAUUGCAGCACUACUCACAAUGGCAAAAACAUGGAAUCAAUUUAAGUACCCAUCAAUGGUCAAUUGGAUAAAGAAAAUGUGGUGCAUAUAUGCAAUGGGAUACUAUACACCCAUAAGAAAUAAUAAAAUCAUGCCUUUUGCAACCAAUUGCAUGCAUCUGGAGAUCAUUUGUCUUAAGUAAAUUAAUACAGGAACAGAAAACAAAAUACCACAUGUUUUCACUUAUAAGUGGGAGCUAAAUAUUGAGUAUUCAUGGACAUAAAGACGGAAACCAUAGUCACUGGAGACUACUAGAUGGGGGAGAGAGGGAGGCAGGUAAGAGUUGAAAAACUAACCAUUGUGUACAAUGAUGACUGCUUGGGUGACUGACAGGAUCAUUUAUAUUCCAAACCCCAGCAUGAUGCAAUAUACCUAUGCAACAAAC